GACGAAGGGGGCUAGCGUUGUUCGGAAUUACUGGGCGUAAAGGGCUCGUAGGCGGCCAACUAAGUCGGAUGUGAAAUCCCCAGGCUUAACCUGGGAACUGCAUCCGAUACUGGAUGGCUUGAAUCCGGGAGAGGGAUGCAGAAUUCCAGGUGUAGCGGUGAAAUGCGUAGAUAUCUGGAGGAAUACCGGUGGCGAAGGCGGCAUCCUGGACCGGCAUUGACGCUGAGGAGCGAAAGCUAGGGGAGCAAACGGG
rnacentral:rRNA from 1 species